ACGAACGCUGGCGGCAUGCUUAACACAUGCAAGUCGAACGAGAAAGCUUCUUCGGAAGUGAUUAAAGUGGCGCAAGGGUGAGUAUCACGUGAAUAAUCUGCCCUCGAGAUCGGGAUAACAUGGUGAAAACUAUGCUAAUACCGGAUAAGACCACAUUUCAUAAGAAAUGCGGUAAAAGGAGUCUCAAUCUUCACUCGAGGAUGAGUUCGCGCAACAUUAGCUUGUUGGUGAGAUAAAAGCUCACCAAGGCUACGAUGUUUAGCCGGCCUGAGAGGGUGAACGGCCACACUGGAACUGAGACACGGUCCAGACUCCUACGGGAGGCAGCAGUGGGGAAUAUUGCGCAAUGGGCGAAAGCCUGACGCAGCAACGCCGUGUGAGUGAAG
rnacentral:rRNA from 1 species